CCGUCAGGCGGUGGACAUGUGGAUUAUUCGAUGCAACGCGAAGAACCUUACCUGGUCUUGACAUCCUGCGAGCUUUCUAGAGAUAGAUUGGUGCCUUCGGGAACGCAGUGACCGGGGCUGCACGGGUGGCGUCAGCUCGUGUUGUGAAAUGUUGGGUUAAGUCCCGCAACGAGCGCACCCCCUAUUGAUAGUUACCAUCAUUAAGUUGGGUACUCUAUUGAGACUGCCGCUGACAAGGCGGAGGAAGGUGGGGACGACGUCAAGUCAUCAUGGCCCUUACGACCAGGGCUACACACGUGCUACAAUGGGUAUUACAGAGGGCUGCGAAGGAGCGAUCUGGAGCGAAACUCAAAAAGGUACUCUUAGUCCGGAUUGCAGUCUGCAACUCGACUGCAUGAAGUCGGAAUCGCUAGUAAUCGCAGGUCAGAAUACUGCGGUGAAUACGUUCCCGGGCCUGGGGAUCCCGAGACG
rnacentral:rRNA from 1 species